rnacentral:lncRNA from 1 species
CUCUCUUCCUCCUUUGCUUGGCCGGCAUCUCUUCCAGGGAGGUCCUCCCUUGCCUCCCUCCCUCUCCUUCACCAGGCGACGGCUCGGCUCGGCGUGGAGGCGGUGCGCGCACGCGAGCGGCUCGGCCGGCGCUGGCUCGCGGGGCGUGGCGCAGGCGCCAGAGCGGUGGCGCGCGGGCGGCGGCUCAGCGCGAGGCCGAGCGGGCGGCGCGCGCAAGGCCGGAGCGCGGCCGCUCGGGGAUGGCUCGGCGCGGGCUCGGUCGGCUCGCGGGGCCGGCGGUGGCGCGGCCCAGGCGGUGACGCGGCCAUGGUGGCAGCGCGGCUCGGCCCGAGUGGCGGGAGGUGCGGGAGCGAGCGUGUGGGCGCGAGGACGCGCGGAAGCAAGCGGGGGUGAGGUGCUGGCAGCGGCGCUGGAGCGUGGGCAAGCGGCUUGGACGGCGUGGUGGCUCGUGGCAGGCAGAGGCCGAGCGGGCAGCGUGAGCGGGCGUGAAGGCCGGUGACGUGCGUGCCCAAGUGAGGUGCGGCGCGCGGGAGCUGGAGCACUGGCCAGGCACGCGAGGCGCGGACGCAAGCGCGAGCUGGCGGCGCGAGCAAGCAGCGAGCAGCGUGCGGCGCAAACGCGGAAGCUGGCGGCGGCUCGGGUGGCUCGACGCAGGAGGCUGGCGCGCUGGGGCGUUGCAUCAGGCGACGGCGCGGGGACCAGCAGGUGCGGUUGGUGGUGGCACAGGAGUGGCCUGAGGCAGCGGCACAGGGCGUGGAAGUGAGCAGCGCGGGCAGGAACAGGCGUUGGAGCGAGCAGUGGCGGCGCCAACGCAAAGGCUAAAGCAAAACGCGCGCUGGAAACAGGAGCAGACGUAGGGCAAGCAGAAGUGGCUGCACAGCGCGGUUCGGCAGCGCGAUGGCGUGCGCGGUGCAGACGGUGUAAGCGUGCGAGCGCAGGAGCGGGACCCAAGCGGCGGCAAACAGCCCGGAGCGAGCAGGGCAGAUUCAGACGCGUGAGCAGCAGCGCGAUGCGGACCAAGAACGCGCACGGGCGUGCGCGUAUGGAGGUGAGGCGUGGCGGCUUGGGACCGACUCGCACGAAGGGCAACGAGGUCGCGCACGGCAGUACCAUGGCAAGGACGGUCGUGGAGGGACCUGCGACGCGGCAAGGCCGAGGCAAGUACGAGCCCGGCGACAGGAAGAAGAAGAAUAACCAUGCAGGGCGACAACGUGCAGAGCGAUGAUGUGUGGAGGUGGCGACCGGAUGCGAUGAGCUUAGAGGAGCCACACACGGUGAGCUCCCUCGAUCCUCGCGAAGGCGGAGAAGCGCUUAUGGCGCGGCAAGUCGGAAGGAGAAGUUGUGGAGCGAAGGCGGCAAUCAGGCGUGACGAGCUCGGAGGAGCCUCGAUGCAACCAAACACGGCAGUCCUGCUGGGAGCUACGCGGGUGUGCCAGCCGUGUUUCAGGGGCACACGUGCGAGAGCAAAAGAAGGUUUAGCUCGUGAGUAGAUGGACCCUGGAGGUUCGCGGAGUUGUCCUAGCAAACCAAUCCGGCUCUGUUGUCCUAGCAAGACCACAAGUCACCGCGGGGAUUACCCCUUCGACCAUCUUCCACCCACAGCAACCCUUUUCGGCAAACUCCUUCGUCAUCCACGGAAUCUCAUCAUCGUCGAGCUUUUCUUUUCGCCGAUCCUGUUCGCCACGGGAAUUCACUUUCCACCCAUUCUUCUCCACUACCAAGGCUACCCCAAGGUUUGCCCUGAUUCACUGAAUCUUCUUAAUGCUGGCGACUCCUUUGCCGGAAUUUCGUCGUUAACUUCCUGUUAUCUGUUUUCCCGGACCAGGGACUUAAUUGCUUUAAUUUAGAAAGUUCUAGGGUAUUCUCUGUAAAAUUUUCAGAACCUUCCUUAUUUCAAACCAGUGAACUUCUACAUUUCAUAGAAUUUCGUAAGAAGUUCAGAAAAAUACAAAAUCAGUUUUGUUUGAGUCCUUAGGUCCAAGUCUACAAGUUGUAUGUUGUGAUUUUGAGUUGAAAGUCUUGAUUUGUGGUCUAGGUUAUAUUUUUGGGAAUGAGUGCUUUAUUUGUAUCUUGUGUGAUAUGCAUGUGCUGUAGCUGAAAAGUAACCAUAGGACAUAUAUCUCAAGUGGAGAUAUGUGAUAUCUAGUCAAUCCUUUCACACGAGUACUCAUAUCCCUGCCAUCAAGACAUUGUUCUCAUCUUGAUUGCAAUCUCCUUAAGACCCUUGUCAUAUAAAGAUCCUUGUUAGUUCAUGUACAUCUGUUGCUUAUCCAAUACGUCUAUGCAGCUAUGCUUCAGCGUCGACUAUCAUCUCAGUCGCUAAGCCUUCGUUUCCUUUGAAUCUAAGGUGUUUCUGUGUAACAGCUGUCGACCGAUGCAUCUCUUUUGAUAUGCUUCUACCAUCGGCUGGUUAGCUGAUACGGUUGUUAUCUUUCUGAUAUCGGCUACUGCCGAUACGAUCCUUUUGUCCUGUCCUACAUCGACUGCACAGAGUCGAUGUAUCGGAGAGUCACACACGAUCUUAGGGUUCUUGCCAUCGGCCGACCCAAGCUGAUUUUGGUUGCUUUUCCAUAUCGGUCAAACACGGCCGAUCGAUCCUUAGUUUCCCCAUCCUUAUCCACACACUUCUAUCAGUCGAUUUGUUGACUGAGAGGUUAGCUUUAUACCUAUCGAUCAUAUACCCUUCAUCACACUCCCAUCAGCGAUACGUCACUCAAUUGUUGUGUUGACGUAAUCAAGCCAAUACAACCACACCUAGUUACCUAGAAUAACAUUUAAGCACAUCUCAGUUAAGACAACUGCUUUAGGAAUCAUCCUUCUGCCAAAGUAAUCGAUGCUUUCAUCAAUCAAUUAGGAACCUGAUGCACCUAUCAAUCAGCUAAACCUCCAUUUUUUCCAAUCGGCUCUGUUGUAACCCUCAACAUGUAGCUGAUUCUAAUUAGUUGUUCCCCUAAAGCUCUGUCUAAGUUUAGUUUUAGAUCUUUUUGGUUGUUAGGUGAGUAAUAUGUUAAAUGAGAGUUGGAUUGCAACUUUAUUGUGAAGUAAGAUAGUUUUAUGUGCACACUUUGAAUGUAAUGUUGCAUUGCAUGUAGAUACGACUACUUCUGCAAACGGUACCUACAAGAUCUCCCCGGAGUCUGCAGAGGAUAUAUCUGAAGACCAAGUGAACAUCACCAAAGGAUUAUCUGAAGCCCCGAACCAAAGUUCGGAAGAUAACAAUACUAACAUCCCUGACUUCAGCCCCACCAGUAAAGGCAAGCCCCGGACAUAACCCACUAUUUUAAUUACACUGCAAUCUAUAUCUAUUUAUGUAUUCUAUGCAUUAAGUUCUUAGGAAUUGCUUGAAAUCCUAGUUGCAUUUUUCUUAGGAACCAAUGUAUUGAAUGUUAGCACUUGAGUCCGGCUAGUUGCUAUGCUAAUAGGACCGGUAAAAGUCGAGUGAUUUCCUGUCACUCGCGCGAUAUAGGAAUUGCAUGUUUACAAUUCUGCAAUCACUAUAAGGAUGAUGGACAGGGUCAUGUGUUGUACCAUGACCUGAAGGUUUACCCUUUCUAUUUUGUUAAAAAGUGACUAAGGUCGCAGCAUGUGGUAGUGGUGGCUAAGCGUUUGAAAGUACUAGCCACAUACCGCGAAAUAUGGUAAGCGGUAAGCCUAGUACCCGAAUGGCCCGGCAAAUGGAACACGUCUCCACCACUCGACCUUUAUUUUAUGUUCACACGCACUGACGUGUGGGAGUACGUUCUGCGUGGCAGACAGGGGUACGGGUUUUGUAGUCGCGCUACAGACGUAUGUCCUGCACAAUUGGUGUGCGUACGGUCCUGCAUUCGCUUGUGGUCGCCCUGAUCCAUAACCCGGAAUAUGAGGGAAACGGUUGCUUCGGAACACCUUGUUGGUAUUCCAAGCGUGUGUGUUAGGUUUACCUUGCAAGGUUUAAAUUCGAUUCAGAAUCGUCCGCCUCUCACGAGGAUUGAGACUGCUUAUCCCUUUUACCACAGAGAGUAAAAAGUGUAAUUGUUGAUAAAGUAAUCUCGAUGAAUGAUAAUAUCUACCUUGCUUGUUUAGUGUAGGUGCUUACCUAGAUGAUUAAUCCAACUAGAAUCUGAAAGCUAAAACUUGCAAAUAGGUUACACUCUUAGAUGCUUUUCAGCUAAAAAUAACUCAGAACCCUUGCAAUGCCUUCAUGAGUCUAGUUAUGGGCUAAAGUAUACCCAAUCCCGGGUAAGCCUUGCUGAGUAUUAGUAUACUCAGCCUUGCUAGUUAUAUGUUUUUCAGGAAACACCUUGGAAGACCCUACUCUUCCCCUGCCUUGGCCCUGUGCUCUUCCGGAUGGUUGGUCCGUGGAAUGGGAUCCGUCCCCGGCCAACACUGACGAUACCGAGUGAUGUCGUGCCUGGGCUUAGCAUGACAUCCGUCUUGACGGCAUGUUGUGAAUCGUCGCGUAUGUUUUCCGCUGCUAGAAACCAUAAAUUCAACAGUUUGUAAUGUUUUCUCUAAAUUUGGAAACUUUGCACUGUUGUUGGAAACUCUUGUAAUGUAAUUCCCUGUGAUGUAAAAUAUGAUGGUGACUGUAUCUCUGGACUCACCUUAGUGUGAGGUAACCUUAUUGAUCCUGUAUUCGGUGGUUUAUCGGGACGUUACCCGACAGGCCAAGGGAUUAUACCGUUUGAAGCACGUUGGAGCCCUCAGGAAUGGACUCACGUACUUGAGCCGGUAUAAUUCAGGUUGGUUCUGCCACACGGCACAUGGCCGGAACAGCGGUGGCGGCGUGGUGCAGAGAGGAAACAGAGGAGGAGGGAGGGAGGUAGACGAAAGAGGAC